GGUUAAGCGACUAAGCGUACACGGUGGAUGCCCUGGCAGUCAGAGGCGAUGAAGGACGUGCUAAUCUGCGAUAAGCGUCGGUAAGGUGAUAUGAACCGUUAUAACCGGCGAUUUCCGAAUGGGGAAACCCAGUGUGAUUCGUCACACUAUCAUUAACUGAAUCCAUAGGUUAAUGAGGCGAACCGGGGGAACUGAAACAUCUAAGUACCCCGAGGAAAAGAAAUCAACCGAGAUUCCCCCAGUAGCGGCGAGCGAACGGGGAGCAGCCCAGAGCCUGAAUCAGUGUGUGUGUUAGUGGAAGCGUCUGGAAAGGCGCGCGAUACAGGGUGACAGCCCCGUACACAAAAAUGCACAUGCUGUGAGCUCGAUGAGUAGGGCGGGACACGUGGUAUCCUGUCUGAAUAUGGGGGGACCAUCCUCCAAGGCUAAAUACUCCUGACUGACCGAUAGUGAACCAGUACCGUGAGGGAAAGGCGAAAAGAACCCCGGCGAGGGGAGUGAAAAAGAACCUGAAACCGUGUACGUACAAGCAGUGGGAGCACGCUUCGGCGUGUGACUGCGUACCUUUUGUAUAAUGGGUCAGCGACUUAUAUUCUGUAGCAAGGUUAACCGAAUAGGGGAGCCGAAGGGAAACCGAGUCUUAACUGGGCGUUAAGUUGCAGGGUAUAGACCCGAAACCCGGUGAUCUAGCCAUGGGCAGGUUGAAGGUUGGGUAACACUAACUGGAGGACCGAACCGACUAAUGUUGAAAAAUUAGCGGAUGACUUGUGGCUGGGGGUGAAAGGCCAAUCAAACCGGGAGAUAGCUGGUUCUCCCCGAAAGCUAUUUAGGUAGCGCCUCGUGAAUUCAUCUCCGGGGGUAGAGCACUGUUUCGGCAAGGGGGUCAUCCCGACUUACCAACCCGAUGCAAACUGCGAAUACCGGAGAAUGUUAUCACGGGAGACACACGGCGGGUGCUAACGUCCGUCGUGAAGAGGGAAACAACCCAGACCGCCAGCUAAGGUCCCAAAGUCAUGGUUAAGUGGGAAACGAUGUGGGAAGGCCCAGACAGCCAGGAUGUUGGCUUAGAAGCAGCCAUCAUUUAAAGAAAGCGUAAUAGCUCACUGGUCGAGUCGGCCUGCGCGGAAGAUGUAACGGGGCUAAACCAUGCACCGAAGCUGCGGCAGCGACACUAUGUGUUGUUGGGUAGGGGAGCGUUCUGUAAGCCUGUGAAGGUGUACUGUGAGGUAUGCUGGAGGUAUCAGAAGUGCGAAUGCUGACAUAAGUAACGAUAAAGCGGGUGAAAAGCCCGCUCGCCGGAAGACCAAGGGUUCCUGUCCAACGUUAAUCGGGGCAGGGUGAGUCGACCCCUAAGGCGAGGCCGAAAGGCGUAGUCGAUGGGAAACAGGUUAAUAUUCCUGUACUUGGUGUUACUGCGAAGGGGGGACGGAGAAGGCUAUGUUGGCCGGGCGACGGUUGUCCCGGUUUAAGCGUGUAGGCUGGUUUUCCAGGCAAAUCCGGAAAAUCAAGGCUGAGGCGUGAUGACGAGGCACUACGGUGCUGAAGCAACAAAUGCCCUGCUUCCAGGAAAAGCCUCUAAGCAUCAGGUAACAUCAAAUCGUACCCCAAACCGACACAGGUGGUCAGGUAGAGAAUACCAAGGCGCUUGAGAGAACUCGGGUGAAGGAACUAGGCAAAAUGGUGCCGUAACUUCGGGAGAAGGCACGCUGAUAUGUAGGUGAAGCGACUUGCUCGUGGAGCUGAAAUCAGUCGAAGAUACCAGCUGGCUGCAACUGUUUAUUAAAAACACAGCACUGUGCAAACACGAAAGUGGACGUAUACGGUGUGACGCCUGCCCGGUGCCGGAAGGUUAAUUGAUGGGGUUAGCGGUAACGCGAAGCUCUUGAUCGAAGCCCCGGUAAACGGCGGCCGUAACUAUAACGGUCCUAAGGUAGCGAAAUUCCUUGUCGGGUAAGUUCCGACCUGCACGAAUGGCGUAAUGAUGGCCAGGCUGUCUCCACCCGAGACUCAGUGAAAUUGAACUCGCUGUGAAGAUGCAGUGUACCCGCGGCAAGACGGAAAGACCCCGUGAACCUUUACUAUAGCUUGACACUGAACAUUGAGCCUUGAUGUGUAGGAUAGGUGGGAGGCUUUGAAGUGUGGACGCCAGUCUGCAUGGAGCCGACCUUGAAAUACCACCCUUUAAUGUUUGAUGUUCUAACGUUGACCCGUGAUCCGGGUUGCGGACAGUGUCUGGUGGGUAGUUUGACUGGGGCGGUCUCCUCCUAAAGAGUAACGGAGGAGCACGAAGGUUGGCUAAUCCUGGUCGGACAUCAGGAGGUUAGUGCAAUGGCAUAAGCCAGCUUGACUGCGAGCGUGACGGCGCGAGCAGGUGCGAAAGCAGGUCAUAGUGAUCCGGUGGUUCUGAAUGGAAGGGCCAUCGCUCAACGGAUAAAAGGUACUCCGGGGAUAACAGGCUGAUACCGCCCAAGAGUUCAUAUCGACGGCGGUGUUUGGCACCUCGAUGUCGGCUCAUCACAUCCUGGGGCUGAAGUAGGUCCCAAGGGUAUGGCUGUUCGCCAUUUAAAGUGGUACGCGAGCUGGGUUUAGAACGUCGUGAGACAGUUCGGUCCCUAUCUGCCGUGGGCGCUGGAGAACUGAGGGGGGCUGCUCCUAGUACGAGAGGACCGGAGUGGACGCAUCACUGGUGUUCGGGUUGUCAUGCCAAUGGCACUGCCCGGUAGCUAAAUGCGGAAGAGAUAAGUGCUGAAAGCAUCUAAGCACGAAACUUGCCCCGAGAUGAGUUCUCCCUGACUCCUUGAGAGUCCUGAAGGAACGUUGAAGACGACGACGUUGAUAGGCCGGGUGUGUAAGCGCAGCGAUGCGUUGAGCUAACCGGUACUAAUGAACCGUGAGGCUUAACCUU
rnacentral:rRNA from 1 species